rnacentral:ncRNA from 1 species
AAAAAGUUUUAUUUUAGCUGAAAUAAUAAGUUUAUGAUUUAUUUACAUGUAAAUUUUUGUAGGAUUUUUUAUGAUUUUAAAAAAAUUAUAUGGGUUAUUUUAAUCGCAGUAUUUAGUUUUAAUUAUUAAGGGAACUUAGAGUUAGAAAUUUAUAAUAAUAUUAACUUAAUUUGUGCCAGCAGUUGCGGUUAUACAAAUAAUAUAAUUUAUUAUUAUUAAUUUGUAAUUAAUUGAAUUAUUUUUUUAAUAUUAAUUAUGAUUUAUUAAGUGAAAUUUUAAAUUAUAAUUAAUUUAGAUAAAAAUUUUUGAAGUUAUUAAAUUUUAAAUAAAACUAGGAUUAGAUACCCUAUUAUAAAAAUGUAAAUUUGUAAAAUUAAAUUAUUAAUAGUUAUAAUCUUUAAAGUUAAAAAAUUUGGCGGUAUUUUAAUCUAUUCAGAGGAACCUGCCCUAUAAUUGAUAUUCCACGAUUAAAUUAACUUAUUUUAAAAAUUUAUAUAUCGUCGUAGUUGAAUAUUUUAAUAGAAAUUAAAUAUUCUAAAUUUUAAUUUUAAAAAUAAAUCAGAUCAAGGUGUAGUUUAUAAAUAAGAAGAGGUGGGUUACAAAAAAAUUAUAAAUUUUGGAUUUAUUUUUAAAAAAAAUAAUGAAAUUGGAUUUGAUAGUAAUUAAAUUAAUUUAGGUUUAAUGAUUAGAGCUCUAAAAUAUGCACAUAUCGCCCGUCGCUUUCAUUUAAGUUGAAAUAAGUCGUAACAUAGUAAAUGUACUGGAAAGUGUAUUUAGGUAGUC